GGCCUUACCUCCAUCCUCAGCCCACCUGGGAGGGUGGAGUCUCUCCCACCUCCCCACCUACUUUAUAACCCCAUCCUGCCUGCUUGGUUAGACCCUCUGUUCGGGAAGGUGCACAAGGCUUUGUCUAGGAGACAGCUCAAUUGUCUUUCAAUAAGGACCCAGUUAAAUUAUGGUACAUCUACCCAGUGGAAUUUAAUGUGGUAACAAAGAAAGAGGAAGCUCCUGAUGUACAAAUACGGAAAAAUCUCCAUGUGCAUUGUGAAGUGGGAGAAGGAAGGUGCAGAAGAAUGCUAUGUAAAAAAAAAUUCUGUGUAAAAAAGGAGGAGUUAGAAUAUCUGUGCUUGCAGGAGAAAAUGCUGAAAGGUAUGAAAAGAAACCAAUAAGGUGAUCACCUGGGGGAAGAGGACAGCAUCAGGGAUGCGACCUUUCACUGUAAACCUUUCUACGUUGUUUUGAUUUUUGGACCAGGUGAAGUUAUACCUUAUUUAAAUAUGUAUUGGUAUGUGUGUAUGUAUACAUAAAUAUACAAAAUAGGAAGUGAAAAUACAAAGACACAG
rnacentral:lncRNA from 10 species